AAAUUGAAGAGUUUGAUCAUGGCUCAGAUUGAACGCUGGCGGCAGGCCUAACACAUGCAAGUCGAGCGGAAACGAGUUAUUAGAACCUUCGGGGGACGAUAACGGCGUCGAGCGGCGGACGGGUGAGUAAUGCCUAGGAAAUUGCCCUGAUGUGGGGGAUAACCAUUGGAAACGAUGGCUAAUACCGCAUGAUGCCUACGGGCCAAAGAGGGGGACCUUCGGGCCUCUCGCGUCAGGAUAUGCCUAGGUGGGAUUAGCUAGUUGGUGAGGUAAGGGCUCACCAAGGCGACGAUCCCUAGCUGGUCUGAGAGGAUGAUCAGCCACACUGGAACUGAGACACGGUCCAGACUCCUACGGGAGGCAGCAGUGGGGAAUAUUGCACAAUGGGCGCAAGCCUGAUGCAGCCAUGCCGCGUGUGUGAAGAAGGCCUUCGGGUUGUAAAGCACUUUCAGUCGUGAGGAAGGUA
rnacentral:rRNA from 1 species